GUCUCUGUAGCGCAACUGAUAGCACUUUGGACUUCUAAUCCAAAGAUCGUGGGUUCGAAUCCCACUUGGGAUU